GACGAACGCUGGCGGCGUGCCUAAUACAUGCAAGUCGAACGAACCGCGACUAAGUGCUUGCACUAAGUCAAGGUGAGUGGCGAACGGGUGAGUAACACGUGGGUAACCUACCUCAUAGUGGGGAAUAACAGUCGGAAACGACUGCUAAUACCGCACAGGACAUAGGAUCACAUGAUCCAGUGAGGAAAGGUGGCGCAAGCUAUCGCUAAGAGAUGGACCCGCGGUGCAUUAGCUAGUUGGUAGGGUAAAGGCCUACCAAGGCGAUGAUGCAUAGCCGACCUGAGAGGGUGAUCGGCCACAUUGGGACUGAGACACGGCCCAAACUCCUACGGGAGGCAGCAGUAGGGAAUCUUCCGCAAUGGACGCAAGUCUGACGGAGCAACGCCGCGUGAGUGAAGAAGGUCUUCGGAUCGUAAAGCUCUGUUGUUAGAGAAGAACAGCGCAUAGAGUAACUGCUAUGCGUGUGACGGUAUCUAACCAGAAAGCCACGGCUAACUACGUG
rnacentral:rRNA from 1 species